rnacentral:tRNA from 1 species
GCCCUAUUCAGCUAGUGGAUAGGCUACCGGGUUCUCAACCCGGCAACGAGGGUUCGAUCCCCUCAUAGGGCA